AUUGAACGCUGGCGGCAGGCUUAACACAUGCAAGUCGAACGCGUGGCGGACGGGUGAGUAAUGCUUGGGAAUCUAGCUUAUGGAGGGGGAUAACUACGGGAACCUGUAGCUAAUACCGCGUACCAUAGGAUGAGCCCACGUGGGAUUAGGUAGUUGGUGAGGUAAAGGCUCACCAAGCCGACGAUCUCUAGCUGGUCUGCGAGGAUGACCAGCCAAACUGGGAGUGAGACACGGCCCAGACUCCUACGGGAGGCAGCAGUGGGGAAUAGUGCGAAAUGGGGGGAACCUGACGCAGCCAUGCUGCGGGAAUGAAGAAGGCCUUCGGGUUGUAAAGGUCUGUCGGUAGCGAGGCGUUAACUACAGAAGAAGCACCGGCUAACUUCGUGCCAGCAGCCGCGGUAAUAC
rnacentral:rRNA from 1 species